rnacentral:rRNA from 1 species
GAUGAACGCUGGCGGCGUGCCUAAUACAUGCAAGUCGAGCGAACAGACGAGGAGCUUGCUCCUCUGACGUUAGCGGCGGACGGGUGAGUAACACGUGGAUAACCUACCUAUAAGACUGGGAUAACUUCGGGAAACCGGAGCUAAUACCGGAUAACAUGUUGAACCGCAUGGUUCAACAGUGAAAGACGGUCUUGCUGUCGCUUAUAGAUGGAUCCGCGCCGCAUUAGCUAGUUGGUAAGGUAACGGCUUACCAAGGCAACGAUGCGUAGCCGACCUGAGAGCGUGAUCGGCCACACUGGAACUGAGACACGGCCCAGACUCCUACGGGAGGCAGCAGUAGGGAAUCUUCCGCAAAGGGCGAACGCCUGACGGAGCAACGCCGCGUGAGUGAAGAAGGUCUUCGGAUCGUAAAACUCUGUUAUUAGGGAAGAACAAAUGUGUAAGUAACUAUGCACGUCUUGACGGUACCUAAUCAGAAAGCCACGGCUAACUACGUG